GACCUACCCCGUAGCUAUGUGUUACGGCAAGGUCGAAAAUCGUUAGGUACAGAGAACCCGUCAUUCAGGGCGUACCUAACGUUAUAGGGGGAAACUCCUAUAAGGCCGCAAGGCCU
rnacentral:ncRNA from 12 species